ensembl:snRNA U6 U6 spliceosomal RNA
GUGCUCGCUUCGGCAGCACAUAUACUAAAAUUGGAACGAUACAAAGAAGAUUAGCAUGGCCCCUGUGCGAGGAUGACAUGCAAAUUCAGGAAGCGUUCCAUAUUUUU